UACGUAGGGGGCAAGCGUUGUCCGGAUUUAUUGGGCGUAAAGAGCGUGUAGGCGGUUAGGUAGGUCCGUUGUGAAAACUCGAGGCUCAACCUCGAGACGCCGAUGGAAACCAUCUGACUAGAGUCCGGAAGAGGAGAGUGGAAUUCCUGGUGUAGCGGUGAAAUGCGCAGAUAUCAGGAAGAACACCCCGUGGCUAAGGCGGCUCUCUAGUACGUGACUGACGCUGAGACGCGAAAGCGUGGGGAGCGAACAGG
rnacentral:rRNA from 1 species